CGACGAGAUAAAAAAAAGUUUCUUUCGCGGUUAGGUGCGGUGAAGUUAAAAGUUAGCAGUGACGGUAUUGUGGUAAACGGUGUGAAGUGAAAGAAAUUGGAAGUCGCAUAAGCCGGUCGAAUAGUGACGCUGAUAUUCGGAACAACCAUUGUUGUGCGGCGAAAGAACGUAUAAUAAAACGAAUCGGUGGACGGUGGUCCAGCAAGCGUUGGGAUCGAUCAAGCGGCAGCAGAGCGGAGCCAAUUGGACGGAAACCGGAAAGAAGCUUUGAGAAGCGGAAACAAAUUGAACCAUCUCAGUAUCUCGGUGGUGGAAGAAUCCAGAUCGCCAUCGGGUCAACCCUCGUCUCGGCCCUCAAGGGCAGGUGAAGAUUCAGAAUAGUCAGAGUGGACGAAGGCGUCCUUGUACGCUCCACUUCUCUGACAGCGAAG